AUUGAACGCUGGCGGCAGGCCUAACACAUGCAAGUCGAGCGAGCGGCGGACGGGUGAGUAAUGUCUGGGAAACUGCCUGAUGGAGGGGGAUAACUACUGGAAACGGUAUCUAAUACCGCAUACCAUCAGAUGUGCCCAGAUUGGAUUAGCUAGUAGGUGGGGUAACGGCUCACCUAGGCGACGACCCCUAGCUGGUCUGAGAGGAUGACCAGCCACACUGGAGCGGAGACACGGUCUCGCAUCCUACGUGAGGCAGCAUGCGGAAACCUUGCACAAUGGGCGGAAGCCUGAUUCGCCCAUGCGGCGUGUGCGAAGCAGGCCUUCGGGUUGUAAAGCAUUUUCAGCUGGGAGGCGUUACCCGAAGAAUAAGCACCGGCUAACUCCGUGCCAGCAGCCGCGGUAAUUC
rnacentral:rRNA from 1 species